rnacentral:tRNA from 1 species
GGAGAGUGAAGGGUGCCUGGUGGUCCCCGCGGUCUUCAAAACCGUUGUCGGCCUUCUCCGAAGGUCGAGGUAAGUUCGAUUCUUACCCUCUCCGCCA